rnacentral:rRNA from 1 species
AGCGAAGAGAUUCAAUCGACUCUGCAGUAAUGCAGAGAGCCUGCACAGGUGCUGCAUGGCUGUCGUCAGCUCGUGUCGUGAGAUGUUGGGUUAAGUCCCGCAACGGGCGCAACCCCUAUUGCCAGUUGCUAACAGGAGAGCUGAGCACUCUGGCGAGACUGCCGCCGACAAGGCGGAGGAAGGUGGGGAUGACGUCAAGUCAUCAUGGCCUUUAUGCCCAGGGCUACACACGUGCUACAAUGGCCGGCACAGACGGCAGCUUAGUGGCGACACUUGGCAAAUCCUCUAAAGCCGGUCCCAGUUCGGAUUGCAGUCUGCAACUCGACUGCAUGAAGCCGGAAUCGCUAGUAAUCGCAGAUCAGCCAAGCUGCGGUGAAUACGUUCCCGGGCCUU